rnacentral:rRNA from 1 species
UACGCGAAGAACCUUACCCAGAUUUGACAUGUAUUGGAAUUAUUCAGAAAUGACUAAGCCCUUCGGGGCCGAUACACAGGUGCUGCAUGGCUGUCGUCAGCUCGUGCCGUGAGGUGUUUGGUUAAGUCCAGCAACGAGCGCAACCCUUAUCGUUAGUUGCCAACAGGUAAUGCUGGGAACUCUAGCGAGACUGCCUGGGUUAACCAGGAGGAAGGUGAGGAUGACGUCAAGUCCGCAUGGCCCUUAUAUCUGGGGCUACACACGUGCUACAAUGGCCGGUACAGAAGGCAGCGAAACCGCAAGGUGAAGCAAAUCCAAAAAGCCGGCCCCAGUUCAGAUUGUAGUCUGCAACUCGACUACAUGAAGACGGAAUUGCUAGUAAUGGCGAGUCAGCAACAUCGCCGUGAAUACGUUCCCGGGUCUUGUACACACCG